AUGGCCGACCUACCGGACGACGCUCUCGGCGAUGUUCUCCGCCGUCUUCCACCACGCUGGCUCGCCGCGUCGCGGUGCGUCUGCAAGGCCUGGCGCCGCACCAUCGACGAGCGCCGCCUCCUGCGCCCUGACCUGCUCCCACUCUCAUUCGCCGGCUUCUUCAUCCAGUUCGACUCACACGCGUUCCCGGAGUUCUUCGCCCGCCCCUCUUCCUCAUCAGCCAAUACCAAGCUCGACUUCUUGCCUCCCCCCAUGUAUCCCUUUGAUGGGGUAGGCGACGGGUUUGACGAAGACUACUUUGUUCGAGACCACUGCAAUGGCCUCCUCCUGACCAGCCUGUACGUUGUCAACCCUGCCACGCGACGCUGGGAUCUUUUGCCUCCGCGCCGGCGCCCGGCCGAUCCAGAAUGGAUGACCUUUUGGUUCAAUAUAAGCAUCUAA
rnacentral:rRNA from 1 species